GACCUGCCGCCGCUGCCGCCUCUUUGUCUGCUCGGGCAAGUUGAACAAAAGGAGAAACUCGGAUGAACUCUCCAUCGCUCCCGGGUUUCUCUCAUCUUCGACAACUUUAUCCGGAGAGAUUUACUCAACUUUCUCCGCGCUCUCCCGCCGCGGAACAGCAAAAAAGCCCCACUGCGGGCUCCCGAGGAAAAAAGAAAAGAAAAAACCCCGGUUUCCCAGCGGCAAGCGAGGAAAAGGUCAAAACACGGUUGUGGGGAAGACAGGAUGGGAUGGCUGCCAAAACGCCCGCCUGUGAUGGGUGCCAUAUUGCAUUAUUCUGUGAGCGGUGGGAUACAGCUUGGGAUUCUUCAGGGGUGGUUAAUGUGGCACAAACUGGACCAUGCAGCUGCGGAAUGUCUUAACUGUUUGGAUUCAUACAUAACUUCAUGGGCUCCUGGAACAAGUGGAAGAGCCUCUUGCCGAAACUUGAGGAUAUUGUGGGAAAUGCCGCUGAGACCCAUUUGGAUUAUUAUCACCAUCUGUCACCAAGGUUCUGCAGCUGAUGAAAGGAGUUCCCCAGACCUUUUUGUUAUGUGGUUGCUGAAGCCUUAUCCUGGGACAGCAGCAAUGAUUGAUGAGCACACUGCAGGCUUGAGUCGCAGGGCAGCACGUAGUUUGACACUCCUGAAGUAGGAGUGUGAAAGGGAUUGAAGGAUUUACAUGGAGGAUACUGAACUCCCCUCCUUUCUGCUCCAGGAAAGAGAGAGUUGUUUCUUGGUGGGCUGUACUUGAGAGGAAGUAUGAGAGAGUCUCCCCUGCAGCUGGUCAGAGAAAAAAGGUGAUUCAGGUAUGCCUGGAAAGCUCUUGAAGACCAGAGGGCUCAGAAUUAUCUGACCUCAGGAGGCUCAGAGCAUCACUGAAGCCUAGCACAAAGGCGAGUUCACAUCACCUUGCGUUGAGGGACACAAGACUACAAGGCCAGGGGCCUGCUCUGAGACCUGUGGGCAUGAUCCACGUGUGCUACCGACCCUGACUCAAAUGGUGCGACAAAUGAGUCGAUGAACACAGACCUGGACUUCAUGUGGGUUUUGCCACAGGACCCUUUCCCCUGUCCCUGCUCAAACCGGCUCUGCCCGAGCAUCUCUGAACAGCCGGCCGGCACGACCGGAAAGCCAGGCAGAUGCAGCUCAGAAGAAAUGCUGGCAAGGCCGAAGGCUGGGAGCAGGAAGCGGCUGCACCCUGAUGGCUGUCAUUUCCCCCGCGUGCAACUCCUGUUUACUGCCAGCUGCCUUUUUACAGACACAUUGCCCAGGCUUUGAUACGACUGGACCCGUCGCUGACUCAGGGCUAGUGAACUUUCCGUGGCUAUCUGCUCGUUUGUGCUGUUCUUCACAUACAAUAAGGCAUAAAGCUGCACCGUUCGGAAGAAGCGAGAUUGUCUUUACUUACAGCUCCGAUGCUGCACCGCUCUCGACACAGCCUGGUUUUCCCCCCAUUUACCUGGGCGGCUGCUGCUGUUUCUGCUGCUGGGGCUGCUGCAGUCUCGCUGCCUGUGCUUCACCCCGGCUUGGCUGACUCGAAACUCACUCGUCUGCACAUUGCUAAGAAAGAAGAGCGAUGGAGCCCUGUUUUUUCUGUUGGUUCUGGAAGCAAAGGGUUGCGAUAUGUGAUGAUUUUGGGGUUUUCUUUGGGGGGAGGAGGGGAGGAGAAAGGAGGGGUGUUAAUCUAGGAUGGGGUGGGUGAAAGCUUAAAGAAAUAUUAUGUAAAGUAAUCCAGUGCUCGAUAAGGGCAUCAGCAGCAAGAAUCCAGCCUCUGCUGCUCCAGAGGAUUAACAUGGGGAAGCCACAGUGCUGCAGUCGGGUUUCACCUCAGCGUUGUGCUGGAGAUGGAGCAAUAAGGUAUCGGUUGUGCCUGCCUCUUCAGGCAAAGCCAUGGGAGCAGGAGAGAGCGAGCGAAUGCAAAUGCAAAGGAAGAAGAAAUGCUACGUGCCGUUUGUCUGAUUCUGUGCAUUCUCACUGCAGAGAGGAUGGCUUGAUUAACAAAGCAACGUAUGGACAGAGGGACUGUAAAUUCUAGCUCGAACACUCCUGAUGCUGUCAGGGAGGGAACUGAUGAGCUAGGUGGCUGCCGCGAUAUCCUCAGGGAAAACAGCAGCCAUGCACUCUGUGUAUAUAUAUUUGUAUGUAUGUGCUUUUGUGUGUGUGUGAGCAUGCAUAGACAUGAAAGAAAGACAUUUCUGACCAAUUUACAGAGGAAGUUUGUUACUUUGCUGGGUCAGACUUGAUUGCAGCUUGUAUUUUCAGCUAUAGCCCUACACCCAUUUCCUGACUGAGGCAGCACUUUGCAAAAACAGAUGGUAGGCAGAAUUCUUUUAAGAAAUGUGAAAGCAGAUCCUUUCCGCUUAACACCUUGAAGCACUGAAUCUUCUGCACUGUGCUGCAAGAAACUAUGGGGUUUUGUUUUCUCCAUUUUAAAAUCUUUAUAAACACAGCUGUAUUCAGUAUGGUGAAAAAUUCUAUACUGUAAAUAGAAAUGUGAUCAAUCUAAUCAAAAUAAAUGCAUCCCAGAUGACUUCUAGACCAGCUGGCUACCACAGUCAUCAGAUGGCUAAAUGCUCAACUGAGCAUUUAUAUUCAGCAUUAUAUUUACUUUUUUUUAAAAAAAAACUAUUCAGCAUCAAACUCUCAUUAGAAGGUAUUCUUCAUCUAUGGAGAAAAGGCAAUGCUCGCAUUUGGCAAAAGAUUUAUCUGAAAUGUACCUGAGCGUACUUUUUAUUGUUGAACGUGCAUGGAGGAGACCGUGUUUUUAGAGCAGGUAGACUCGUCAGCGUGGGCAUAUUUAUAUUUAGUUUGGUAGGCAGCUCGGCUCGGCCACGUUGGAACAAUGCAGAAACAGGGGAAACAAGUGCUGCACUGAGCUGCAGAGCUUGGCAGAGCUUCUAGCAGCUGCCUACCGAGAAAGAGGUUGGAGGUUUUUUUCCUCCCCCCCUUUUUUUUUCUACCCUUUUAUACAAAUCCAUAGACCAUAAUGUCAUCCUAAAAUGUUCACGAGGGGAUUUCCCAAUAGUCAUGGUGAGCUGCCCUGCAAGACGCCUGUCUGGUCCUUCCACUAUUUGUUACCCAGCCUACAAAGGCAGCCCUGUGUGUUGGAUUAUAUUUAGCCAGCUGUUGGAUAACAUUCUUGUGCUGGGGGCAAAGGAGUCUUAUUACUCCCAAACUGUAGUUUUCUGUUUGCUUAAAGAAAAAUAACCUUGGCAUUACAGAAGGCUUUGCGAAGGGGUUUAUGCCACUCCUAUGCCUUUCUGAAACUGUCGUGUGCUUCUAACUCAAGGCAUUUUAAAGCAAGCGCGGAGGAGGAAGAGAGACUUAACUCACAGCUUCAAAGCUGCAGAGACAAGCAAGAUGUCAGCAUCUUGUAAUUAGGAGUCCAUGGUUACGUCAGUGACUGUAUCUCUCCAAGAAUAGCUAUGUGAUGGGUGCCACGGAGCAAAGGAAGACAGUCAUAACCUGGUUAUCGAGCCUGGUUCAAGCAAGAAGGAGCAAAAUGGAUUAAUGAAUCUGCUGUGUUCCUAAACCAGCUGCGGAUGGAUUACAUGUACAAGGCUUGCUGAAUUCUGCGGCGGUGAAGACUGAAUUAUCAGUUUGCCAGAGGGCACGCGCUCACAAGUGGAAGUGUAAAACCUGCAGCAAAAAAAAUGCAGAUGAACCAUCUAUCCCAGCAAAUGCCCUUCCUGGCUCCCCUGCACAGGCAGCUGCGUGACACGAGGCAUGCUCCAAAGGGAGAGGCGGGCGAGCCGCAAGGAGGUGUUUAGAAGGAAGGGUGUAAUUAAACACAAAGCAGGCAUGCCGAAAUUCUGUUCCGGCAUUACAGAUUCGAUAUGAGAUACCACCCCAGAGAAGAGUGGCUGGGCUCUGGUGUGGUUUAUAUUAAGGCUUCUCUGGUUGGGGGAGCGUGGGGGAGGAGGGAAAGGGCUUGGUGCAGCAUCUUGCAGCCACACAGAAGUCCCCAGGGCGGCUAGGGGACGCGGGAUGGGCACGGCGAUCUGCUCUUAAAGCCACAUGCCCAGAGCCCGCCAGCAGCUUUCUGACCUCUGCAAUUAUUUUUAGGUCUGUGCAGGCAACUCGGCAGCGUUUAAGCCGUGGGAUUGCAGGGAGGUGCUCAAUCUGCUCGGCCUGGCUUUUCCUCGGCGGUAGGGCUGGGAGAUGCGUGCAGGGCUUUGGUCAGCACCCCGCCACGAUGUUCCCUGUGCCUGCCUCUCAGGGUGCACGCUGCCCCGUUGCUGGAAGCCUGGUGUGGUUCCCUGCUCCCAGCAGAAGUUGGAUGCAGUUCAGCUCUGUUUAUGCCACUCUUUAAUUUAGCAGGAUAGGUAGAUUGCAUUAUGCAAAUGGGGGUGGAUGGUUGGUUGGGUUUUUAUUUUUGGUUUGGGUUUUUGGUUUGUUUUUUUUUUUUGACUGUGAACACAAAUUUGUAGGAGGAGAUGACUCUGUAUAUUAAACCAUUAGCUCUUUGAAUGGUGUGUAGUAUAAUUUAAAUAUACUUACUUUAAUUAAUAGAAGGUUACAAAAGCUGGUGUUUUCUGGGGCUGUUUAAUUUACAUCUUAGGUUUAGUCAAUGAGCAUAACCUGCCUGAUUAGAAUAGUGUAUUCUGUACAGCCAGCAGGGUGGAAGACAUUAUUUUGUUUGUGUUAGUUCAAACAGCUGGUCAUUAAUGCAGGCCCCAUCUCCAGAGUGAAGUGCUAGUGGACAUGAAUGGCUGCCUGAUUAAUGCUGCCCCUCGACGGGUCCUUCAUCCAGCAGCGAUGCUCGCAGCAGAAUAAUGCAGCGUGAUUUGAUUGCGCCCGAACAGGGUAGUAUGUCAUUGUGUCACCGAGCAAUCGAGGUUAUUAUGGGGCAGGGCAGACAGACGGGACAGUGGGGUUACUAGACCGUGGCAUUUUUAGAAAUGCAGGCCUGACCUACUUAGAGUUAUUCUUGCUGGCUGGCAGCUGCCUGUGCCGCGCUCCCCCGAUAGGCUGCGGCUGUUGCUAGGGGGAAUUAGCAUGAAUUUUUCCACAUACAGACUCGGUGAUUGAAUGAUAAAAGCUGACUGGAAUUAAAGAGAUUUGGUUCAGUAUUAUGCAGAUUUAUCUCCCUCUUCCCCACACCCACCCACCCACCCCCCAAAUGCAUAAAAAGGAGCAGAAGCCAGUUUGUUUCCAUUUAUUUUUGACCUAUUUUUUUUUCCAGGGGAGGGCAGAAGUGUUGUGAAAUUUUGAUCGUCAUUUACUAUUUAAGCUGUUGAAAUGAUAUGACAGUGGGCAUGCAUCUUUAAUGUAGGGGAGAUUCAGACGCUGUCUCUUUGGAAGGGAAUGAAAUGAAUAUGUUUUGCGUUCUGGUCAGACUGCCGCCUCUUUCUAUUUGAAGCUAUGUCAGAUUCCCUGGUCUGGAAAGGGGAAACAUAUCCCAGGUUUUAUUGCAUAACAUUACUCUCGGCUACUUUUAGCUAUCUGUGCUUCACAAAAUUAGUCUGAUGUUUAUGCUGGUGGAUGAAAUUAAUCCCCGGACUAUGUCUCCUAUAUACAGAGACAGACGCCCAGGCUACGCUGCAGCCUCGUGUGUCGUGUUCAUCUGGAAAGGUGCUCACACACUGCAGACCCACCAGGACUGCAAACCUCGCAGAGAACUGCUGCCCAGCCUCUAAUCAGAGCAAUUAGAAACCUUCUUCGGGAUUUGGGAGUAUUUUUCAAGCUUCGGUCUGAAGUUGGAUUCUCUAGAUGGACCUUUUUUAUUUAUCUACAUCUGCCUAAAAUAGUGUUAUCUUUCAGAGAACUCUGUGCUCCCUCAGGAAGCAAAUAAAAACAAUACUCAGUGAAGAAUCCUUUGAUGUAAUUAUGAAUAUUUCCUUUGUUAUUAUCACUAAUUAUAGAAGAUCUUUGUUUAAACCGCAA